rnacentral:rRNA from 1 species
ACGGAGGGGGCUAGCGUUGUUCGGAAUUACUGGGCGUAAAGGGCGCGUAGGCGGCCCGGCAAGUCAGACGUGAAAGCCCUGGGCUCAACCCGGGAGGUGCGUUUGAGACUGCGGGGCUGGAGUCCGGGAGAGGUGAGCGGAAUUCCCAGUGUAGAGGUGAAAUUCGUAGAUAUUGGGAAGAACACCGGUGGCGAAGGCGGCUCACUGGACCGGCACUGACGCUGAGGCGCGAAAGCGUGGGGAGCAAACAG